rnacentral:rRNA from 1 species
AGCGAACGCUGGCGGCGUGCCUAACACAUGCAAGUCGAACGUGAAAGGGAGCACUCCCCUGUCAAGUGGCGUACGGGUGAGUAACACGUAGGUAAUCUACCCCAGAAUCUGGAAUAACCGGCCGAAAGGCUGGCUAAUACUUGAUAGAGCGACGGAAUCCGUAAUUGGGUUUUUCGGGAAAGGGAGCCUGUAAAAAGGCCUUCGUUCUGGGAUGAGCCUGCGUCCCAUCAGCUAGUUGGUGAGGUAAAGGCUUACCAAGGCAAUGACGGGUAGCUGGUCUGAGAGGACGGUCAGCCACACUGGAACUGAAACACGGUCCAGACUCCUACGGGAGGCAGCAGUGGGGAAUCUUGCGCAAUGGACGAAAGUCUGACGGAGCAACGCCGCGUGAGUGAAGAAGGCCUUCGGGUGGUAAAGCUCUGUAGAGGGGGACGAAAAGGAUUGGAGUUGACAGCGAAAGAAACGGAGGGUACCAAUAAAGGAAGCACCGCUUAACUCCGU